rnacentral:sRNA from 1 species
AGACAUACAAGUCGAACGAGAAAGUGCCCCCUCGGAAUCUAAUUAUGUCGCAUACUGGUGAAAAAUAAAUGAGCACCUUGCCCUCAGGACGGGGAUAACCUCUAGAAUUGGGUGCUAAUUCGGGAUAAGACCAUGUUUCGCAUGGACUGUGGUAAAAAUUGGCCUCGACACUUAAGCUGGUACUUGGGGAGGGGCUCAGGCGGCAUUGUCUAAUUGGUAAGGUAACGGCCUACCAAGGCUAUGAUGUCUAGCUGGCCUGAAAGGGCGAUCGGCCCAACUGUUAUUAAAAUACGGUCUAAACUCCUACGGGA